rnacentral:misc_RNA from 1 species
GAUGAAGAACGCAGCGAAGUGCGAUAAGUAAUGUGAAUUGCAGAAUUCCGUGAAUCAUCGAAUCUUUGAACGCAAAUUGCACUCUCUGGCAACCCGGGGAGUAUGCCUGUUUGAGGGUCAGUGUUAAUAAAAAUCGGGUUCGUUGCAAUUUUUGUGACGUUUCCGGAGUUUGAGUUAUCUUAACUUCGGUUUUAAGAGGCUUAAAAUUGACCUUUUUUUGUGCAUUUUAGACGUACAUAAAUUUUUUUUUUAUUCGUCCAUCCUAAUGCCAAAAUCUAUUAGAUGCGACCAUAUCUUGUGGUUCCGUGUCUAUAAAUUUUUCAUGAUUUGACCUCAAAUCAGGUAGGAACACCCGCUGAACUUAAGCAUAUCAAUAAGCGGAGGA